GGGGGUUCCCAGCCGGGUUUGGAUCUCCCGGGGGCUCAGGGUGUGUUCUCCCUGUUUUCCCUCUCCUGCCCAGCCGUGGUCAGCUCCAGCGGCGGCGGCUUCUCCAGCUCCGGAGGAUUCCUGGGAGGAGCCCUGGGGGCCGGGAUGGGCAGCGGAGCCCUCGGCUUCUCCUCCGGGGGGGCCACCAAGUCCUACUCCAUCACCACCACCUCCAGCAGCCGCCGCAGCGUCAGGAAGUAACUCCGGGAGGGAGGGAAACCCUCGGGAAGAGAUGCCCGGGUGCCUCUCGCGGGAAAAAGCGGCUGCAAAACAAAUUCCUGCCCCUGCCACGACACUCCCGAGGCUCCGUCCUGCUCCCGAGGCUCCAUCCUGCCCCGGAACGUCCCCCCGGGAGCAGGAUCAGCCCUCCCGGGGCUGGAUUUGGCAAAUCCCACAUUCCCGCUGCGCCUUUGCCGAAGAGACCGGGAGAUUCUCUGCCCUCCCCUUGAUUGGAUUUGGGAAGAUUUCCAUCCCUCGGGUCUCACCCCGGGCUGGGUUUUUUAAAACGCGUCAGGGAGAAAAGGGUGAAACCGCUCUGGAUUUCUCCUUGUUUUCCUCUGGGAAUGGGCUCAGGGCUGGAAUUCCACGAUCCUCCUCUGCCCGGAGCUGUUUUCUGCCCAAGGGCAGAUUUAUUUCGGGCUCUUUGGAGCAAAAAACCCAUCAGCUCCUCCCUCCCCUGUUCCCUGUUCCUCAGCGCAGCCCAGAGCUCGAGGGACAUCAAAUUGCUGGAAAUCCAAGUGUCCCACUCCAAAGGGGGAGAACAUUCCCAGUUCCUGGGUGUCUCUGUUCACUCCGGGGGGAUUUCGGGAUCUCUGGGGUCUCCUCCCGCGAGGCAAAAGCGAGUUUGGGGUUGGCGCAGAUCCCAAAAACUCCUCCUUCCUGCCCGGGCGGGGCUUCGGCUCCCCCGGGCCGGGGGAGGGCGAGGUCGCGGCUGCCGCGGGAAGAGUUUUUAGGGAAUAUCUCCAAGGAACUGCGCGGCCAUCCCGUGCUGGUGCUCGGCCGUGUCCCGGCGGUGCGUUUUUGGGCGGAAUUUUGAUGCUUUUCGUGUCUGUCCCGAGGCCUUUAAUAAAGUUUCCCUUUUUCCUGCUCGUUCA
rnacentral:lncRNA from 1 species